rnacentral:rRNA from 1 species
UACGUAGGCAGCAAGCGUUGUUCGGAAUUACUGGGCGUAAAGAGUGUGUAGGCGGUGCCCUAAGUUUGGUGUGAAAUCCUCCCGGCUCAACUGGGGAGGGUGCAUCGAAAACUGGGGGUGCUCGAGGGUGGGAGAGGUAAGCGGAAUUCCUGGUGUAGCGGUGAAAUGCGUAGAUAUCAGGAGGAACACCUGUGGUGUAGACAGCUUACUGGACCACUUCUGACGCUGAGACACGAAAGCGUGGGUAGCAAACAGG